rnacentral:rRNA from 1 species
GGUUAAGCGAACAAGCGUACACGGUGGAUGCCCUGGCAGUCAGAGGCGAUGAAGGACGUGCUAAUCUGCGAAAAGCGCCGGUAAGGUGAUAUGAACCGUUAUAACCGGCGAUGUCCGAAUGGGGAAACCCGGUGCACUUCGGUGCAUCAUCGUUAGCUGAAUACAUAGGCUAACGAGGCGAACCGGGGGAACUGAAACAUCUAAGUACCCCGAGGAAAAGAAAUCAACCGAGAUUCCCCCAGUAGCGGCGAGCGAACGGGGAACAGCCCAGAGCCUGAAUCAGCUUGUGUGUCAGUGGAACGGUCUGGAAAGGCCGGCGAUACAGGGUGACAGCCCCGUACACGAAGGCACACAGGCUGUGAGCUCGAUGAGUAGGGCGGGACACGUGAUAUCCUGUCUGAAGAUGGGGGGACCAUCCUCCAAGGCUAAAUACUCCUGACUGACCGAUAGUGAACCAGUACCGUGAGGGAAAGGCGAAAAGAACCCCGGCGAGGGGAGUGAAACAGAACCUGAAACCGUGUACGUACAAGCAGUGGGAGCCUUCGUAAGAGGGUGACUGCGUACCUUUUGUAUAAUGGGUCAGCGACUUAUAUUCUGUAGCAAGGUUAACCGUAUAGGGGAGCCGAAGGGAAACCGAGUCUUAAUUGGGCGUUAAGUUGCAGGGUAUAGACCCGAAACCCGGUGAUCUAGCCAUGGGCAGGUUGAAGGUUGGGUAACACUAACUGGAGGACCGAACCGACUAAUGUUGAAAAAUUAGCGGAUGACCUGUGGCUGGGGGUGAAAGGCCAAUCAAACCGGGAGAUAGCUGGUUCUCCCCGAAAGCUAUUUAGGUAGCGCCUCGUGAAUUCAUCUCCGGGGGUAGAGCACUGUUUCGGCUAGGGGGCCAUCCCGGCUUACCAACCCGAUGCAAACUGCGAAUACCGGAGAAUGUUAUCACGGGAGACACACGGCGGGUGCUAACGUCCGUCGUGAAGAGGGAAACAACCCAGACCGCCAGCUAAGGUCCCAAAGUCAUGGUUAAGUGGGAAACGAUGUGGGAAGGCCCAGACAGCCAGGAUGUUGGCUUAGAAGCAGCCAUCAUUUAAAGAAAGCGUAAUAGCUCACUGGUCGAGUCGGCCUGCGCGGAAGAUGUAACGGGGCUAAACCAUGCACCGAAGCUGCGGCAGCGACACGUAUGUGUUGUUGGGUAGGGGAGCGUUCUGUAAGCCUGUGAAGGUGUGCUGUGAGGCAUGCUGGAGGUAUCAGAAGUGCGAAUGCUGACAUAAGUAACGAUAAAGCGGGUGAAAAGCCCGCUCGCCGGAAGACCAAGGGUUCCUGUCCAACGUUAAUCGGGGCAGGGUGAGUCGACCCCUAAGGCGAGGCCGAAAGGCGUAGUCGAUGGGAAACAGGUUAAUAUUCCUGUACUUGGUGUUACUGCGAAGGGGGGACGGAGAAGGCUAUGUCAGCCGGGCGACGGUCGUCCCGGUUUAAGCGUGUAGGCUGACUUUCCAGGCAAAUCCGGAAGGUUAAGGCUGAGGCGUGAUGACGAGGCACCACGGUGCUGAAGUGACAAAUGCCCUGCUUCCAGGAAAAGCCUCUAAGCAUCAGGUAACAUCAAAUCGUACCCCAAACCGACACAGGUGGUCAGGUAGAGAAUACCAAGGCGCUUGAGAGAACUCGGGUGAAGGAACUAGGCAAAAUGGUGCCGUAACUUCGGGAGAAGGCACGCUGACAUGUAGGUGAAGCCCCUGCGGGUGGAGCUGAAGUCAGUCGAAGAUACCAGCUGGCUGCAACUGUUUAUUAAAAACACAGCACUGUGCAAACACGAAAGUGGACGUAUACGGUGUGACGCCUGCCCGGUGCCGGAAGGUUAAUUGAUGGGGUUAUCGCAAGAGAAGCUCCUGAUCGAAGCCCCGGUAAACGGCGGCCGUAACUAUAACGGUCCUAAGGUAGCGAAAUUCCUUGUCGGGUAAGUUCCGACCUGCACGAAUGGCGUAAUGAUGGCCAGGCUGUCUCCACCCGAGACUCAGUGAAAUUGAACUCGCUGUGAAGAUGCAGUGUACCCGCGGCAAGACGGAAAGACCCCGUGAACCUUUACUACAGCUUGACACUGAACAUUGAGCCUUGAUGUGUAGGAUAGGUGGGAGGCUUUGAAGCGUGGACGCCAGUCUGCGUGGAGCCAACCUUGAAAUACCACCCUUUAAUGUUUGAUGUUCUAACCUGGCGCCGUGAUCCGGCGUGGGGACAGUGUCUGGUGGGUAGUUUGACUGGGGCGGUCUCCUCCCAAAGUGUAACGGAGGAGCACGAAGGUCAGCUAAUCCUGGUCGGACAUCAGGAGGUUAGUGCAAUGGCAUAAGCUGGCUUGACUGCGAGAGUGACGGCUCGAGCAGGUGCGAAAGCAGGUCAUAGUGAUCCGGUGGUUCUGUAUGGAAGGGCCAUCGCUCAACGGAUAAAAGGUACUCCGGGGAUAACAGGCUGAUACCGCCCAAGAGUUCAUAUCGACGGCGGUGUUUGGCACCUCGAUGUCGGCUCAUCACAUCCUGGGGCUGAAGUAGGUCCCAAGGGUAUGGCUGUUCGCCAUUUAAAGUGGUACGCGAGCUGGGUUUAGAACGUCGUGAGACAGUUCGGUCCCUAUCUGCCGUGGGCGCUGGAGAAUUGAGGGGGGCUGCUCCCAGUACGAGAGGACCGGAGUGGACGCAUCACUGGUGUUCGGGUUGUCAUGCCAAUGGCACUGCCCGGUAGCUAAAUGCGGAAGAGAUAAGUGCUGAAAGCAUCUAAGCACGAAACUUGCCCCGAGAUGAGUUCUCCCUGAGACUUUAAGUCUCCUGAAGGAACGUUGAAGACGACGACGUUGAUAGGCCGGGUGUGUAAGCGCAGCGAUGCGUUGAGCUAACCGGUACUAAUGAACCGUGAGGCUUAACCUU